UCCGGCGUAGCUCAGUGGUAGAGCGGGCGGCUGUUAACCGCUUGGUCGUAAGUUCGAAUCUUACCGCCGGAGCCA
rnacentral:tRNA from 2 species